GCAGUUUUUCCUUAAUAAAUGUGCUACUUAGCAACAUAACACUAAGCGACGCACCAUUAUUUUAACCGUCACGGUGGCUAUCUUCAGUCACUUUAUUAAUUUUCAUAUUAGAUAAAUCAAAAUGUAUCUGUAUGACAAAAUAAAAGGUAAAAAUUCCCUGUACGCCUGGAAUGCCGUGGAUGUUGAGGUUGAGGGUUUGAUGCAACGCGGGCACGUUAUUGGCCUAACGGACGGAUCUGACGGAAGGCUGCCGCGACUUAUCAUCGAUUUCGGCUGCCCGACCCAAAAUGCCAUUCUAAUGGAGGACGGAACGGUCUUCGAUAGCCACCUUCUUCCAGCUUUUAGGGGUCGCGCGCCCGUGGGAGCGCGGGCUGAAGUGCUAAUGUUUGAGCGGAAGAACGGCCCUUGGACAUGGUAUCCCGGCAAAGUCCUGAUUGAGACUUUCAUUAACUUGGAAAGUACAGCGCUGGUGGAAGUGGAAAUCAACGACUGUCGUCAGCGCGAACUGCUUCCCGAUCAACAGAUCCGACUGCUUUUGGACGAGAAACUGCAGCGAAAGCGCCUGCAACCAGGACACUUCGUCAUGCGGACGUGCGGUGUGCCUGACGGUUACUGGGCCUUGAACCGAUUUGUAGCAGACGCAUUGUGCCGCAAAGUAGAGCAAUUGUACCGCCUGAAAUUUACUCGCGUUCUCAGCCAGGAGAUGCACUAUGUGCGGCGGCGUGACGAGCCUCCCUUGGAGGAUGCAGAUGUGGAAUUAGCGUUUGACCAAGAUCUUGACAAAAUAUGGUUGGACCACUAGGCGAAAGUGUUCAAAGGACAGAGAGAAGAAUGCGCACUUUCUGUUGACGAUGAAUUCCAGAAGAGCGAACGCAAGAGGAAAAUGCGGGUUACUGGCGGUGAAUGCGGUUUGGCGUUGCCUGCAGAAAUUCUGAAAGAGGUCUUCCUCUCACUGCCCACCGUCGACCAGCAGCGCUGCCGGCGCACCUGCCUACUGUGGGAUGCCAUUUUGACAUCGGGAGAUGAGUGGAAGAAACAUGUACGCAUACGGGUGGAGGAUCCGGGUGCGUGGGAUUACGAUCAUCCGUUUAUCGGGUAUGGAUGUAUCUUUAAGCACAUCACGCCCUUUACGCGAACCUUUUGCCUUGAGGAUCCCGAGGCCAACUUAAACUGCGCAUACCCCGACGAUCUGGUUGAGACUAAUGAAGCCUUGAACCUCGUUAAAAACGUUCUGGACGAUGCCGGCAUACGCGUUGACCGUCUUAUCCUGAAACAACGAAAGGUGUUAAUUCAUUUAUCUGAAUUAACACUGAGAGUGUUUUUCGCCGAGAUGGCAGCGCUAUUUUCCUCACUGGCGUCCUGCUGUGACCGUUUGAUUUUGAAGCAAUACCGUCUGAAUUAUCGAUGCAGGGUUACUGACAACUCCUGGGAAUUCCUCAUUCCAUCGGCUGUUUUCGUUCCAGGCAGUGUGGAUGACGCGCAAAGUUGGGAUGUGUUUGAGAAGCAUCUGAGCUUGUGCUGUGUGGGACGGAAGAGACAGCCGUACCAGGGGCAUUGGUGUUGUCCGCCGGUAGACAUUCCGCGGAUGGCGUCCUGUCUAGCGAAUCUGAUUAACAGCCGGGAGAGAGCGUCGACUGUGAAGAAGAUCAGAUGGUAUCAUGGUAGCGACCGACAAACGGGCAACACAAGUUACUCGGGACGUGAGUAUGUAUAUACGGCCACCUCGCAUCGGGCAUCUCAUCACAAUGCUACUGUGCAUAUGUGCAUUUAGUGGCGGUGACCGACGAACGGACAUCGCCAGUUACGUGGGGUUCGAGUAUCUACUGCAACCGCGCAUUGGUGCACCUCUUCCCAAUGCUACUGUGCAUAUCUGCAUUUAGUGGCGGUGAUCGACGAACGGACAUCGCCAGUUACAUGGGGUUUGAGUAUAUACGGCCACCGCGCAUUGGGGCACCUCUUUCCAAUGGUACCGCGGAUAUGUGCAUUUAGUGGCGGUGACCGACGAACGGACAUCACCAGUUACAUGGGGUGUGAGUAUAUACGGCCACCGCGCAUUGGGGCACCUCUUUCCAAUGGUACCGCGGAUAUGUGCAUUUAGUGGCGGUGACCGACGAACGGACAUCACCAGUUACAUGGGGUGUGAGUAUAUACGGCCACCGCGCAUUGGGGCACCUCUUUCCAAUGGUACCGCGCAUAUGUGCAUUUAGUGGCGGUGACCGACGAACGGACAUCACCAGUUACAUGGGGUGUGAGUAUAUACGGCCACCGCGCAUUGGGGCACCUCUUUCCAAUGGUACCGCGCAUAUGUGCAUUUAGUGGCGGUGACCGACGA